rnacentral:rRNA from 1 species
AGCAGUCGCCGCGGGAAUACGGAGGGUGCAAGCGUUACUCGGAAUCACUGGGCGUAAAGGACGCGUAGGCGGAUUAUCAAGUCUCUUGUGAAAUCUAACGGCUUAACCGUUAAACUGCUUGGGAAACUGAUAAUCUAGAGUAAGGGAGAGGCAGAUGGAAUUCUUGGUGUAGGGGUAAAAUCCGUAGAGAUCAAGAAGAAUACCUAUUGCGAAGGCGAUCUGCUGGAACUUAACUGACGCUAAUGCGUGAAAGCGUGGGAAGCAAACAGGAUUAGAUACCCCGGUAGUCCCUGUCUCUUAUAC